AUGAACGCUAGCGGCAGGCUUAAUACAUGCAAGUCGAGGGGCAGCAGGGAUAGCAAUAUUCGCUGGCGACCGGCGCACGGGUGCGUAACACGUAUACAAUCUGCCUUUUACUGGGGGAUAGCCUUUCGAAAGAGAGAUUAAUACCCCAUAAUAGUUGACCAGGCAUCUGGUUGAUUUGAAAGCUCCGGCGGUAAGAGAUGAGUAUGCGUCUGAUUAGCUAGUAGGUGAGGUAACGGCUCACCUAGGCCACGAUCAGUAGGGGAUCUGAGAGGACUAACCCCCACACGGAUACUGAGACACGGAUCCGACUCCUACGGGAGGCAGCAGUAAGGAAUAUUGGACAAUGCCCGCAAGGGUGAUCCAGCCAUGCCGCGUGCAGGAAGACGGCCCUAUGGGUUGUAAACUGCUUUUAUACAAGAGAAAACCUCCCUACGUGUAGGGAGCUGAUAGUAUUGUAGGAAUAAGCAUCGGCUAACUUCGU
rnacentral:rRNA from 1 species